GUGUCCCAUUACACGACGGGCGGGCACUGCUGGGGGAGAGAGCCGCUGUGGGGCUGAUCCAGUCAGAGCUGACUGAGAGUUCAGUUCAGGAGUGAGUUUGUUGUCAACUACAGACAAUGGCCCCAGAACCCUCAGAUUUAUGAACAUUAGAAGGUAACCUACAUACUGCUUUGCUGCACUGUGAGCUUCUCACCCACUGAUCAGCCGCUCAUCUCAACACCGUGAAGAAUCAUCCUCUUUGACCGAUAUAUCAUCUUAUGAAACACAUAAGAUGGCUGCACGAUCAAAUAAUCCUUCUACUAUACAGAACUGUACGUCCUUCUACUUUGAUGUACUUAUUUUAGUCUUCUCAUUUCAUGCCUGUUUUGACAGUGUCUGAAUAAUUAAUAUCAUUUUUCAAAAUAAAAGUAUCCAGUGACGUUGUGGGUAGAAAAUGUUUUCUAUUUAAAUACAGUAGAAAUACACAAACUUAUGCAAUCUGACU